GACGAACGCUGGCGGCGUGCUUAACACAUGCAAGUCGAGCGAUGAAAGCCUUAUGAACUAUUCGUAGUGAUUGGGGCCGGAUUAGCGGCGGACGGGUGAGUAACGCGUGAGCAACCUGCCUUAAACAACGGGAUAGCCUCGGGAAACCGGGACUAAUACCGUAUGAGACCCCGCCUGCACAUGAAGAAGAGGUAACAGAUUUAUCGGUUUAAGAUGGGCUCGUGUCGGAUUAGCUAGUUGGUGAGAUAAAAGGCCACCAAGGCAACGAUCAGUAACCGGCUUGAGAGAGUGAACGGUCACAUUGGAACUGAGACACGGUCCAAACUCCUACGGGAGGCAGCAGUGGGGAAUAUUGCACAAUGGGGGAAACCCUGAUGCAGCGACGCCGCGUGAGCGAUGAAGGAAUUCGUUUCGUAAAGCUCUGUCCAAGGGGAAGAUAAUGACAGUACCCUUGGAGGAAGCCCCGGCUAAAUACGUGCCAGCCGCCGCUGUAAGAC
rnacentral:rRNA from 1 species